UGGGGAAUAUUGGACAAUGGGCGCAAGCCUGAUCCAGCCAUGCCGCGUGAGUGACGAAGGCCUUAGGGUUGUAAAGCUCUUUCGGCGGGGAAGAUAAUGACGGUACCCGAAGAAGAAGCUCCGGCUAACUUCGUGCCAGCAGCCGCGGUAAUACGAAGGGAGCUAGCGUUGUUCGGAAUCACUGGGCGUAAAGCGCACGUAGGCGGAUAGUUAAGUCAGGGGUGAAAUCCUGGGGCUCAACCCCAGAACUGCCUUUGAUACUGGCUGUCUCGAGGUCGAGAGAGGUUGGUGGAAUUCCUAGUGUAGAGGUGAAAUUCGUAGAUAUUAGGAAGAACACCAGUGGCGAAGGCGGCCAACUGGCUCGAUACUGACGCUGAGGUGCGAAAGCGUGGGGAGCAAACAGGAUUAGAUACCCCCGUAGUCCCUGAGCGGGCUGGCAAGGCGCAU
rnacentral:rRNA from 1 species